AUGCUCAUCAAUACUUUGCUUAAAUUGCAUAGACUUCUAUUGUGAAACUCAAGAAUGAAACGAUGCUCAUCAAAGCUUUGCUAAAUUACGUAGACCUCAAAUGUGGAAAUCAAGAAUGAAACACUACUCGUCAAAGCUUUGCUUAAAUUGCAUAGACUACUAUUGUGGAACUCAAGAAUAAAGAAUUGCUCAUCAAAGCUUUGAUAAAUUACAAAGACUACUUCUAUUGUGGAACUCAAGAAUUAAACAAUGCUCAUCAAAGCUUUGCCAAAUUGCAUAGACUUAUAAUGUGGAACUCAAUAAUGAAACGAUGCUCAUCAAAGCUUUGCUUAAAGUGCAUAGACUUCUAUUGUGGAACUCUAGAAUUAAACAAUGCUCAUCAAAACUUUGCUAAAUUUCAUAUACUUCUAAUGUUAAACUCAAGAAUAAAACAACCCUCAUGUAAGCUUUUUUUAAACUGCAUUCACUUCUAUUGUGAAACUCAAGAAUUAAACAAUGCUCGUCAAAGCUUUGCUAAAUUGCAAAGACUACUUCUAUUGUGGAACUCAAGAACUAAACAUUGGUCAUCAAUGCUUUGCUAAAUUGCAUAGACAUCUAAUGUGGAACCCAAGAAUGAAACAUUGCUCAUGAAAGCUUUGUAAAAUUGCAUAGAGAUCUAUUGUGGAACUCAAGAAUCAAACAAUGCUCAUCAAAGCUUUGCUUAAAUUGCAUAGACUUCUGUUGUGGAACUCAAGAACGG
rnacentral:lncRNA from 1 species